rnacentral:tRNA from 1 species
AGUAAGAGAAGUUUAACCAAGCUAUUGGGCCUUGCACCCCUAAAAAGAGGGUUGAACCCCUCUCUUCCUA